rnacentral:rRNA from 1 species
CCUCGGAUCAGGUAGGAAUACCCGCUGAACUUACAACAGGGAUUGCCCUAGUAACGGCGAGUGAAGCGGCAACAGCUCAAAUUUGAAAUCUGGCUCUCGGGCCCGAGUUGUAAUUUGUAGAGGAUGCUUUUGAUGCGGUGCCUUCCGAGUUCCCUGGAACGGGACGCCAUAGAGGGUGAGAGCCCCGUCUGGUUGGAUGCCAAAUCUCUGUAAAGCUCCUUCGACGAGUCGAGUAGUUUGGGAAUGCUGCUCUAAAUGGGAGGUAUAUGUCUUCUAAAGCUAAAUACCGGCCAGAGACCGAUAGCGCACAAGUAGAGUGAUCGAAAGAUGAAAAGCACUUUGAAAAGAGAGUUAAAAAGUACGUGAAAUUGUUGAAAGGGAAGCGUUUAUGACCAGACUUGGGCUUGGUUAAUCAUCUGGGGUUCUCCCCAGUGCACUUUUCCAGUCCAGGCCAGCAUCAGUUUUCGCCGGGGGAUAAAGGCUUCGGGAAUGUGGCUCUCUCCGGAGAGUGUUAUAGCCCGUUGCGUAAUACCCUGGCGGGGACUGAGGUUCGCGCAUCUGCAAGGAUGCUGGCGUAAUGGUCAUCAACGA